rnacentral:lncRNA from 1 species
GAGAACCUUGAUUUCUGGCAAGUCUUGUAAAUGCGGCAAGAUGGUGUCUGCCUGAAUGGACAUUUCUACAUUAUUCUGGAAAGUAUAUUCAACACCUAGUGAGAUUUCAUCACUCUUUAUGAAAUAAGAACACAACCUAAUUUUCAAUUCCACAUUGCAUCACGAAGAAGUACUAAUUGGACAUGGAUGCACAUAUGAUGGAAAUCGCAGGGGCCAGAGACCUGGGCUGGAGCAAAUUGUGGUCUGGAUAUGAUUAACUCUAGAAAAUCUCAACUGUGGUUGCUGUCAUAAUUCCUAAUACCUGUAGUAUAAAAGAACUUUAUAAUAUCUGACUAUUUGGCAACCUCAGUGUUAAAUCUAAAGUUUGAGCAUGAGGUGGACCUAGUUAUGAACUUUUCACAGGUUGGGGUAAAUGAUAAAGAGAAACAUUUCUAGUAAAAAUACUAAAGCCCACAUCUGCUCUUUUCAGUUCCCACUUCCAACAAUCUAAUUCACUCUCUUGUCAA